AUCGGUUUGGAACACAGACCUUAUCAAAGCAGUUUUAGUAAAGCAGUCCUCAGUGCAAGCGAUAUCACAAGAUACCCUUAUUCAUGAGUCUCCUCCUAAAAGCCUGGUAAGUUACCUUCUGAAAGACAGGCCAUCUUCGCCACUUUGUGGCUCAUAAAUUAAGGAAUUAUCGAUGUCUAAUAAAAUGACUGGUUUAGUAAAAUGGUUUGACGCUGGUAAAGGUUUCGGUUUUAUCUCUCCUCAGGAUGGCAGCAAAGAUGUAUUCGUACAUUUCUCUGCAAUUCAGAGCAACGAUUAUAAAACUCUGGACGAAGGUCAGCAGGUCGAAUUCACUAUUGAAAACGGCGCUAAAGGUCCUUCAGCGGCAAACGUUGUCCCUAUGUAAGCCUUAAUUAUCAAUAGUGCAUUAUCAAUGCGUGAUGG
rfam:Triticum urartu cultivar G1812 contig358811, whole genome shotgun sequence.